UACGUAGGGUGCGAGCGUUGUCCGGAAUUAUUGGGCGUAAAGAGCUCGUAGGCGGUUUGUCGCGUCGAAUGUGAAAUCCCGGGGCUCAACCCCGGGUCUGCAUUCGAUACGGGCAGACUAGAGUUCGGUAGGGGAGUCUGGAAUUCCUGGUGUAGCGGUGAAAUGCGCAGAUAUCAGGAGGAACACCGGUGGCGAAGGCGGGACUCUGGGCCGAUACUGACGCUGAGGAGCGAAAGCGUGGGGAGCAAACAGG
rnacentral:rRNA from 1 species